AGUAACACAGGUUAUAGGAACGUAAAACUUCUUCCACAAAAAGAUAGCUUAAACUGUGUUCUAAAUAGAGGUGUAGUCAAAUCCUAUUUUAUGGACUCAACCAUAUUCUAAAAUAAGACGAAAGGUAAACUACUAUAAAUCAGCCGAACUGCAGUCAUUUUUGUCU